AGCGCCGUCUUCCUCGGCAGAUGGGGCACACGUAUAAGCCGGUAGAACGCUGACAGGGAAAGGCCCCCUUUCACAGAGGGCUGAGCUACUCGUCGUCUUCAGGGAUGUCUUUGCCGAGCAAAGCGCGAAACACUGAAACAAUUCUGUAUCAGCGGACUUUGGCCCGGUUGAACCAUCACCAUAUUUCCCCGGCGAGAGGGGAGGCAAAUGCAGAAGUUAGAAAAUGGUAGUCUCCGCGAUCUGAGACCACACAAUUCUGGCGUUCUCUGGUGUGGUUCCUUAGACGAACGAGAAAACGGAAACUUUUUGAGUCAGUCACUCUCUCGGAGUCCAGCUCGACCUCGGGUUCACGGAUUUUGCUUGAAACGGUCCGUCCCCGCUGUUUUGCCUUCGAAGUCGCCCAAAAAGAUGGUCUAGACCUCGAGGUGAUCCUGUGCUCUAUUUAGAGGUCGGUUUUUAUUUCGCAGUAAGGAACCUCGCGCUGCUCUCUAGAAUGGCUGUUUCCGUCGUUCAAAAUCUUGUUGUACGGCAUGCCAUGCAUCUUGCAACGUGUCCUCUCACCUCCCGAGGAACAACACCAUUGCCUCAAGGCACUCUGUUUCUCCUAAGCUGCGGUGACCGCGCCAAUGGCAGUACAGCCUCCCCUGGGGACAGUCUUGCGUGAUGAAACUCGACGACUUGUUCAGCAAUUUAGCCAUGCAGCUGUUUUGCAGUUCACUGCUGAAAAUUGACACCAUGCGCGGUAUGUAUCGUGGGUUCAGGAGUGGCUGUGUCACGGCGAUCUUGGUCGGUGCACCUGAAGUGAGAUACGAAUCCUGUGUCGAGCGACCAGCCGUAACGAGCAGUGCUUCAUUCCCGGCUUCUUCAAGCAUUUUUAGCCAUCUGCCGUUCCGUGUGCACAUCGAAAUAUGACUCCUUGCCUUGCUAUAGAAAUUCGUAGAUUUACACUAGUCGUGUGGUGUGCCUCACGUACGUGACUUACGUAAUACAUACUUCAGGUGAAAUGAACCUCCC
rnacentral:lncRNA from 1 species